rnacentral:rRNA from 1 species
GAUGAACGCUGGCGGCGUGCCUAAUACAUGCAAGUAGAACGCUGAAGCUUGGUGCUUGCACCGAGCGGAUGAGUUGCGAACGGGUGAGUAACGCGUAGGUAACCUGCCCCUUAGCGGGGGAUAACUAUUGGAAACGAUAGCUAAUACCGCAUAAAAGUCGAUAUCGCAUGAUAUUGAUUUGAAAGGUGCAAAUGCAUCACUAAGAGAUGGACCUGCGUUGUAUUAGCUAGUUGGUGAGGUAACGGCUCACCAAGGCGACGAUACAUAGCCGACCUGAGAGGGUGAUCGGCCACACUGGGACUGAGACACGGCCCAGACUCCUACGGGAGGCAGCAGUAGGGAAUCUUCGGCAAUGGGGGCAACCCUGACCGAGCAACGCCGCGUGAGUGAAGAAGGUUUUCGGAUCGUAAAGCUCUGUUGUAAGAGAAGAACGAGUGUGAGAGUGGAAAGUUCACACUGUGACGGUAACUUACCAGAAAGGGACGGCUAACUACGU